rnacentral:rRNA from 1 species
AUACGGAGGAUGCCAGCGUUAUCCGGAUUUAUUGGGUUUAAAGGGUGCGUAGGCGGAUUGUCAAGUCAGCGGUGAAACGCAAGGGCUUAACCCUUGACCUGCCGUUGAAACUGGCGGACGUGAAUGCGGGUGAUGGGGGAGGAAUGGGUGGUGUAGCGGUGAAAUGCAUAGAUAUCACACAGAACACCGAUUGCGAAGGCAUCUCACAAAUCCGUGAUUGACGCUGAGGCACGAAAGUGUGGGGAUCAAACAGGAUUAGAUACCCUGGUAGUCCACACUGUAAACGAUGAUGACUCGCUGUCGGCGAUAUACAGUCGGUGGCCAAGCGAAAGCGAUAAGUCAUCCACCUGGGGAGUACGACCGCAAGGUUGAAACUCAAAUGAAUUGACGGGG